UACGAAGGGUGCAAGCGUUACUCGGAAUUACUGGGCGUAAAGCGUGCGUAGGUGGUUUGUUAAGUCUGUUGUGAAAGCCCCGGGCUUAACCUGGGAAUGGCAUGGGAAACUGGCGGGCUGGAGUGUGGCAGAGGGGGGUGGAAUUCCGGGUGUAGCGGUGGAAUGCGUAGAGAUCCGGAAGAACACCAGUGGCGAAGGCGGCCCGCUGGGCAGUGGCUGACGCUGAGGCGCGACAGCGUGGGGAGCAACAGG
rnacentral:rRNA from 1 species